rnacentral:misc_RNA from 1 species
GUAGGUGAACCUGCGGAAGGAUCAUUAUCACGUAUCCACGUAUAAACCAUUGUGAACUGUCACCCACCUUUGUAAGAAACUCAGAAGAAUGUAAACGCUCAUGGUCCUUAUUGUAAUUUAAGACCUGUUUGCAUUCGAUCGCCGGGCAACCGACGGUAUGACUUCUCUCAAAGUGUAUUUAAAUUACAUUUGAUUAACAAUUUGAACAACCUUUUAAACUUUGAACUAACUUGUUUCUUACUCUUAACCG